CACCAGGUUGAUUCUGCCUGACGUAGGAUGCUAGUCUCUGAGAUUAAGCCAUGCAUGCUUGUUAUUCACAGCGAACCAAUCAGUAAUACUGCACUCAUUUGGUCUCUUAAAAGGAUAACCACGGGAAACUGUGGCUAAUGAAGAGAAUAAGGUGUAGUCCCAUCAGUUAGUUGGUAGUGUAAAGGACUACCAAGACGGUAACGGGUGACGGAGAAUGAGGGUUUGAUUCCGGAGAGGGAGCCUGAGAGAUGGCUCCCACGUCCAUGGACGGCAGCAGGCGCGGAAAUUGGUCAAUAGUGUAGGGAUUGAACCAGUUACGAGACGUUUUAUAAAUUUUUACUUUAAAAAGGUGAAUAAGAAUUGGAGGGCAAGUUUCGGUGCCAGCAGCCGCGGUAAUACCGACUCCGAGAGUUUCUAUGAUGGAUGCUGCAGUUAAAAAGUCCGUAGUCGGGUGGUGGAGCGGAUAGGGAACAUGGUAUAUUUGGGCGAGAGAUGAAAUUUCAAGACCCCCAAGUGGACCGACAGAGGCGAAACGGGUGUUCUUAUACGAGUCCCUGAGAUCAAGGACGAAGGCUGGGAGUAUCGAAAGUGAUUAGAUACCGCUGUAGUUCCAGCAGUAAACGAUGCCGGCUCUAAGAUAGAAAGGAUAUUUUUAGUAGGGAAACCAAAGGGUGCGGGCUCUGGGGGAUAGUAUGCUCGCAAGGGUGAAAAUUAAAGAAAUUGACGGAGCUACACCACAAGGAGUGGAUUGUGCGGCUUAAUUUGACUCAACGCGGGAGAACUUACCAGGGCCAAGUAGUCUUGAGAUUGGAUACAUGAAGACAACAGGAGUGGUGCAUGGUCGUUGGAAAUUGAUGGGAUGACUUUUAGCUUAAAUGCAGAAAUGAGUGAGAUCGAUAAGACUGGUAUAGAGAUACAGGAGGGGAGCGGCGAUAACAGAUCAGUGAUGCCCUCAGAUGCCGUGGGCUGCACGCGCGAUACUAUUAGUCUGUUAGGGGUAGAAAAAUAUGACUAGAAGGGACUGUGGCUUGUAAUAGCCUCACGAACGAGGAAUUCCUAGUAACAGUGUUUCACUAAGACAUUGUGAAUGUGUCCCUGUAGCUUGUACACACCGCCCGUCACUAUCUCAGAUGGACAUGGGGAUGAAGAGUUUCGGCUCUGAAUAUUCAUGGCUAGAUAAGAUGUAAGUCGUAACAAGGUAACC
rnacentral:rRNA from 1 species